GACGAACGCUGGCGGCGUGCUUAACACAUGCAAGUCGAACGGUAAGGCCCUUCGGGGUACACGAGUGGCGAACGGGUGAGUAACACGUGGGUGAUCUGCCCUGCACUUCGGGAUAAGCCUGGGAAACUGGGUCUAAUACCGAAUAGGACUCCGGCCUGCAUGGUCUGGGGUGGAAAGCUUUCGCGGUGUGGGAUGGGCCCGCGGCCUAUCAGCUUGUUGGUGGGGUGAUGGCCUACCAAGGCGACGACGGGUAGCCGGCCUGAGAGGGUGACCGGCCACACUGGGACUGAGAUACGGCUCAGACUCCUACGGGAGGCAGCAGUGGGGAAUAUUGCACAAUGGGCGCAAGCCUGAUGCAGCGACGCCGCGUGAGGGAUGACGGCCUUCGGGUUGUAAACCUCUUUCAGCAUCGACGAAGCGAAAGUGACGGUAGGUGCAGAAGAAGGACCGGCCAACUACGUGCCAGCAGCCGCCGUAA
rnacentral:rRNA from 1 species